rnacentral:lncRNA from 1 species
AGGGCACUGGGCCAGGAAGGAGGCAGAAGCCUGCAGGAGAGGCCUGUGGAGGGGCUUCGGGCCUCAGACAAGCCCCUCUCUGGUGUCCUUGGAGCCCAGGAUACCUGGCUGGUAAGGCUUCUAACUCUGGGUAUGACCUGGCCUAGCGCUGCCAGCUCUGGCCUUCAGGCUCCUUGUGGGGCAGGGACAGGAGUUGCUCCUAGAUCAGAGGUUCACAAAGUUGGUCCCUGAACCAGCAGCAUCAGCAGCACCUGGGAACUUGAGAGAAGUGCAGAUCCUUGGCUCCCCACUACAGAUCUACUACGUCGGAAACCUUGGGGUGCAGCCCAGUGAUCUGUGUUUAACAAGCCCUCCAGGCAAUUCUGAUGCAUGCUCAAGUUUGAGGACCACUGCAUGCAAUAAUCUGUGGGCCAAUAUCAAACCCAUAUCUUCUAUAAAGAGUCAUUCAACAAAGUGAGAUCUAAGGCUUAAGUAGUGCUCACUGUGUGCCAGGUACUCAGCUGACUGCUUUGUGUAUGCUAACUCAUUUAAUCCUCAAGCCAACCCAUUGAGGUCAGGUUCUAUGAUCAUUUCUCCAUUUUACAGGUGAUAUAAAUGCUGUUUUCACCAGAAGCCACAGUUCUGGGAUCUCAGAAGUGAUGGAUGAUCCUAGGCCCAACUCAGAGAUUGGCCCAUGCUGGCUAACUAGUAUGGUAGCUGGCUGGACAUUCCCUGGGUAAUUUUCUUAAAAUGCCCUUCAGAAGCUGUCCUGCCACCUAAAAGGUGGAGCAGUGGGGAGAACCCUCACUCCAGAACUAGAGAAUCAGGCAAGUGGAGUGAGAGAAGCAAGAAGAGGCCUGAAGGAAGUGAGGCCUGAGAGGGAUGCAGGGUCCCAUAAAGAACUGUUUCUCCAAAUGUGGUGCCUGGACCAGCAGCAUCAACAAUGCCUGGGAGCCUAUUAGAAAUGCAGAAUCGUGGACCCUACUCAAGACUUACUGAAUCUGAAUCUGCAUGUUAAUAAGAUCCCCAGGGAUUUGUGAGCACAUUCAAGUUCAAGAAGUCCUGGAUGAGGCACACGGGUAGAUCCCUGACCCCUUCCCACUACAGGAUAAUGGGGAUCUGGGAUCUGCACCAUGCUCAGUCCAGCUCUGUGGGGGCUCUGGCUCUCUCAUUGGCACAAGCAUCCCCUCAGUUAACCCUGGAACUUGAGGUCACUGGAGGAGGCCUCCAGUCCUUAAAACCCCACAGCCAAACUAGUACAAUGAGUGAGAUGCUCUCACCCUGCUGAGUCGCCACUUCCCAAGGUGGAGGAUCUUCACUUCCUUUGUUUCUUUUCCUAGAAUGUGGGCUCUGCGUUCUAACCCAGGCUCCGCCACUUACUGACUGUGAUCCUGGAAGUUGCUAAACUUCUCUGCACCUUGGUUUUCCUUUUCUGUAAUAUAGAGGUGACACAUUUUCUAGAUCAUAGCUUUUUUUGGUGCAUAUAUCUAAGCAAAUAUAUACAUCAUGCUUAGAAGAGUGGUUGGCACACACCGCCAUUAACAUUCGUCACUUGCUAUGAGCCUUCCAUCUUUCCCUCUUCUGGGUGGCCCUUGGGCUGGGGUGGGAUGAAGGGAAGGUGGUGCUUACCUGUGAGGAGUCAAGGAAAGCAGUGCAAAGGCAGGGAUACUGGACUGGAGGUGACUCCUGUAGGGGGAAGAAGGAAAUGUGUUUGUAUGACACUGGGGUAUGCCAGGCUCAGUGCCAGGCACUUUCUUCCCUUCCACAGUUACACCAGAAUAGUGCUGUUAUUUUAUAAUCCUACAGAUGGGGACUGAAGUCCCAGAAGGGCAGUGACCAGGCCAAGGUAUUGCAGUUAGUGAGGGGUGGAGCUAGUGCUUGAUGG